rnacentral:rRNA from 1 species
UACGGAGGAUCCAAGCGUUAUCCGGAUUCAUUGGGUUUAAAGGGUGCGUAGGCGGAAUGAUAAGUCAGUGGUGAAAGCCUGCAGCUUAACUGCAGAACUGCCAUUGAUACUGUCAAUCUUGAGUACAUUUGAUGUGGGCGGAAUGUGUCAUGUAGCGGUGAAAUGCUUAGAUAUGACACAGAACACCGAUUGCGAAGGCAGCUCACAAAACUGUAAACUGACGCUGAGGCAACGAAAGCGUGGGUAUCAAACAGG